CGUCGCAAGACCAAAGUGGGGGACCUUCGGGCCCUCAUGCCAUCAGAUGUGCCCAGAUGGGAUUAGCUAGUAGGUGGGGUAACGGCUCACCUAGGCGACGAUCCCUAGCUGGUCUGAGAGGAUGACCAGCCACACUGGAACUGAGACACGGUCCAGACUCCUACGGGAGGCAGCAGUGGGGAAUAUUGCACAAUGGGCGCAAGCCUGAUGCAGCCAUGCCGCGUGUGUGAAGAAGGCCUUCGGGUUGUAAAGCACUUUCAGCGGGGAGGAAGGCGGUGAGGUUAAUAACCUCGUCGAUUGACGUUACCCGCAGAAGAAGCACCGGCUAACUCCGUGCCAGCAGCCGCGGUAAUACGGAGGGUGCAAGCGUUAAUCGGAAUUACUGGGCGUAAAGCGCACGCAGGCGGUCUGUCAAGUCGGAUGUGAAAUCCCCGGGCUCAACCUGGGAACUGCAUUCGAAACUGGCAGGCUAGAGUCUUGUAGAGGGGGGUAGAAUUCCAGGUGUAGCGGUGAAAUGCGUAGAGAUCUGGAGGAAUACCGGUGGCGAAGGCGGCCCCCUGGACAAAGACUGACGCUCAGGUGCGAAAGCGUGGGGAGCAAACAGUGUAUUAGAUACCCUGGUAGUCCACGCCGUAAACGAUGUCGAUUUGGAGGUUGUGCCCUUGAGGCGUGGCUUCCGGAGCUAACGCGUUAAAUCGACCGCCUGGGGAGUACGGCCGCAAGGUUAAAACUCAAAUGAAUUGACGGGGGCCCGCACAAGCGGUGGAGCAUGUGGUUUAAUUCGAUGCAACGCGAAGAACCUUACCUGGUCUUGACAUCCACAGAACUUUCCAGAGAUGCUUUGGUGCCUUCGGGAACUGUGAGACAGGUGCUGCAUGGCUGUCGUCAGCUCGUGUUGUGAAAUGUUGGGUUAAGUCCCGCAACGAGCGCAACCCUUAUCCUUUGUUGCCAGCGGUUAGGCCGGGAACUCAAAGGAGACUGCCAGUGAUAAACUGGAGGAAGGUGGGGAUGACGUCAAGUCAUCAUGGCCCUUACGACCAGGGCUACACACGUGCUACAAUGGCAUAUACAAAGAGAAGCGACCUCGCGAGAGCAAGCGGACCUCAUAAAGUAUGUCGUAGUCCGGAUUGGAGUCUGCAACUCGACUCCAUGAAGUCGGAAUCGCUAGUAAUCGUAGAUCAGAAUGCUACGGUGAAUACGUUCCCGGGUCCUUGUACACACCGCCCGUCACACCAUGGGAGUGGGUU
rnacentral:rRNA from 1 species